rnacentral:lncRNA from 1 species
CGUUACCCAGAAGAGACCUGGCCAGGAGCAGCCAGAGGAGAUGGUAUCUGAGGUCGAAAAGCAGAAAAACAAAACCUUAAAACCCUUGAACCGUGGGAGGCCAGAACCUAGGAGACUUCCCACAGGUGCUCAGAACAGGCCGGCCAGACUCCAGAGUCCCAGAGUUUAACUCCUUCUUUUGGACUAGAACCCACAACAGUGAAUACUUUGUGCUACACACAUGGCUUCUCUUGGGUUGUCUCUGGAGGCUCCCCUCAAAACGCUUCCUUUAUUGACCACACUUGGCAGAAAUUGUGAAAUGCUUGGGAAACAUGGGGAACCUGAAACAGUCUAUGGAGGUCACCUGAUGAGAAAUCGUCUAGCUCUCCAUCCACGCCAGGAUCUGCGCACAGUUGUGGAGACGGUCUGUCUACCCUGCUGGUUAUUCAUUAGCCAUAUACCCCAGUGAGGUUUUUUUUUAAGGCCAUGCGGAGGGUAGAGAUCCAAGUGGAUAAGGACCGGAACCUUUACUGACAGCUACCAAUUUGUAAGACAAAAGAAGGGAUGUUGGGAAAUCUUCCAGAUCUUCUGUCUCCCUCUCCAGGGUGUACGCUGGAGAUUUCACAGACUGGAUACCUGUCUCC